rnacentral:rRNA from 1 species
CCUACGGGCGGUAGCAGUGAGGAAUAUUGGUCAAUGGGCGUAAGCCUGAACCAGCCAAGUCGCGUGAGGGAUGAAGGUUCUAUGGAUCGUAAACCUCUUUUAUAAGGGAAUAAAGUGUGGGACGUGUCCUGUUUUGUAUGUACCUUAUGAAUAAGGAUCGGCUAACUCCGUGCCAGCAGCCGCGGUAAUACGGAGGAUCCGAGCGUUAUCCGGAUUUAUUGGGUUUAAAGGGUGCGUGGGGGGCCUUUAAGUCAGCGGUGAAAGUCUGUGGCUCAACCACAGAAUUGCCGUUGAAACUGGGAGGCUUGAGGAUGUUUGAGGCAGGCGGAAUGCGUGGUGUAGCGGUGAAAUGCUUAGAGAUCACGCAGAACCCCGAUUGCGAAGGCAGCCUGCCAAGCCAUGACUGACGCUGAUGCACGAAAGCGUGGGGAUCAAACAGGAUUAGAUACCCUUGUAGUC